CAUUUCUUUCUAAUAAUACUUGAUUCCUAAAAUAAAUUUUUUACAUUAAAUUUGACUACAUUUAUAAAUAUUAUAUACAUUGAACUCAAUUUCAUUGAAAUUAAACCAUUCGAAAGCUCUAUGAUAAACAAUUGGCACACGACAGUCGUUGAUUUCGACUUUUUCGACAACUUAACCUCAAAUCCGGAUUAAAUAAUCGAUAGUCGUUUUCCUUAUCUGGUAAACUAUUUGAACGACAACGAUUCAUUGUUCGUCUUGCAGAUCCUGUGUUCAUGUAACAAAGGCAACAGUUUCUCGUUUGGUGAAAAUACAAAACCGGUCACGAGGUAGAACGAGUGAAUGAAUCGAUUUCGCAAUUGUACCAGAUGCUGAACUCUCUUGUGUCACACUGGAUAUUUGAAACCUUGUUACCGGUUCGGAUCAAUUAGAUUUGCGAUUAUUGCACUGAAACUAAUCGUGGAUAUAUCGCUGUUUGUAGGAAGAAAAUGUUUAGAGAGUUGUUUAUCGUAGACGCGAUUGUGAUUUUGUACGAAUAAAGAGAGAUAGAGAGAACAGGAAUAUAUUUAUAAAUAAUUACGUGGAAAAUCAAGAGAUAAUGAUAAAAUUUAAAAACACAUAAAUAUAUGGAUUCAUGAUCUAUUCAUAUCCAUAUUCAAAUGUUUCUGAAUCUAUCUGUGAGAUACUUGAUCCCAUCGCUACAAUGAUAGCUCGAAUAGGAGGAAACAGAGAAGAGAAGAUCGGUCAGUUCUCCCUGUGUCGGUGUUCGCGCCACAGAUUGCAUCAGCACGCCCUUAAUCCUAUUAUGACUAAGUAAUGACUCCUUAGUAUGCCGACUCGAGAACCGUAAAAAUGUUGUGUCAGAUGCUAUCUGACUGGUUGUCGUUUGGUAAUUUACCAUACGUCCAGCAUCGGCUAAAGGUCCAUUUGCUAAUUUGUUGAAAAAGUGACAUAACUCAAAAUUUGCAUUUAUCGAAUUCUUUGUCACGAAGAACGAACAUUGCUUAAGAAGCAUCAAGCAAUCACCGAAGAGAAACAGAAAGAGAGAAAGAGGGAGAAGGAACGAUGGUAUUUAUAGGUCGUUCGAAUUCUAUGGACCUCGAAGGGAACACGACAAGUAAUAAGUUUCGUUUAAGUCUGAGCAACCAGAUAACGAUCGGAAUUUUGCGGCGAGAAAAGAGAAAAUCGAAGGAGAAGGAAAGAUUGUGUAUCCAAUCUACUUGUAAUUAUAUGCGACGGAAUCUGGUAUGUAAGGAUUGUUUAACGGUAAACGAUGAAUUGGUGCAAAUAGCAGAACUGAACAGCUACUUAACGAAAUUACCGUGAACCAUCUGAUUAAGGGGAUUGCUUUGAAGUACACGUGUGUAUUAUGCAAUAAGCGAUGAACAAGAGAAUAUAUUCAUCAGAUAUUGCGUUUCUUGAACAGAAGUUAUACAUAGAUGAAUGAAUGGAGAUGAAUUGUAUGGAUGAUUCUUCGAAAAGAGUUAUUGUAGAGAGUAACAUGUGUUGGAGAGAUAUUGAAUAGUAAAGUGAAAAACUGUGAAGUAAAUAAUUGAAUACAAUAAAGAUAUAAUUAUAAUCAAGUAAGAAUUUUUGGUGAAUGUUGAAAGAAGGAGAAGAGUUAAAAAAAUUGAAUGAAAAAAUACUGUUAUUAGGCCAAUCAAUAUUUAAAUAAAGUUGAUGCAUUGAUGAAAAAGAAAAUUACUGUAAUUAAGGGAUAAAAAAACAUCAAAGUCGCAAUGAGAAUCGUAAAGACGAGCCAACAGAACCAUAAAAGCAACGCAGAACUGUAAAUCUAAUAUCUCGUAAAAUUCUGGUUCCAUCAUCAACGAUUAGAAAUGAUUCUCGAGAGCUUCUUAAUAACGAAUGAUCCCAAAUCCAUCAAAACUCGGAACAACGAAAAUACUCUAUCCUAUCCGUGAAGAAAGGAGUCUUCGAAAAAAAUAUGUAAAAAGGUCUACCAGAAACCAGUUCAGAUUUAUCGCUUCCGGUAUAAUGAAAAAUAUGAAGCAAAUUAACAUGGCCAAGUAAUAUUGUUACGAUGAUUUAUGGGUGAAAACACGAGGAAGCUGUCCAACGUCAUUUCAAGCGGCAAAGAGAAUGCGAAUUUGCAAGAAACUAAGCCGACUGCAUACCAACGAGCCUCAAACCCAAGAAAGCUGAUCUUUCUGCAAUAUCUUCACCGCCUUAAUUCCCUGCGAAUCUCGUGAAAAAAAGGCGCGAACAUCGUCCAAAGGGAUUUAAACGGCUAUUUAUCCUCGUUCGGUUUGGUUUGGUUAGUGGGAAACGAGUUUUCGAUAGGUCGUUUUCGAUGUUCGAGUGCCUUGAAUCCUCGAGCAAAGUUAAGUGGAGGAUCGAGGAUUAAGGCGUUUAAAAAUUUUUAUACUGAAAUUUGUU